rnacentral:tRNA from 1 species
GCCAAGGUGACAGAGUCUGGCCAUACGUACUCGCCUGCAGAGCGAGAUCACGCCGGUUCGAAUCCGGCCCUUGGCU